CAGGUGGUGAUAUAUUCAGGUGGUGAUAUAUUCAGGUGGUGAUAUAUUCAGGUGGUGAUAUAUUCAGGUGGUGAUAUAUUCAGGUGGUGAUAUAUUCAGGUGGUGAUAUAUUCAGGUGGUGAUAUAUUCAGAUGGUGAUAUAUUCAGGUGGUGAUAUAUUCAGGUGGUGAUAUAUUCAGGUGGUGAUAUAUUCAGGUGGUGAUAUAUUCAGGUGGUGAUAUAUUCAGGUGGUGAUAUAUUCAGGUGGUGAUAUAUUCAGGAGGUGAUAUAUUCAGGUGGUGAUAUAUUCAGGUGGUGAUAUAUUCAGGUGGUGAUAUAUUCAGGAGGUGAUAUAUUCAGGUGGUGAUAUAUUCAGGUGGUGAUAUAUUCAGGUGGUGAUAUAUUCAGGUGGUGAUAUAUUCAGGUGGUGAUAUAUUCAGGUGGUGAUAUAUUCAGGUGGUGAUAUAUUCAGGUGGUGAUAUAUUCAGGUGGUGAUAUAUUCAGGU